rnacentral:rRNA from 1 species
AUUGAACGCUGGCGGCAUGCCUUACACAUGCAAGUCGAACGGCAGCACGGACUUCGGUCUGGUGGCGAGUGGCGAACGGGUGAGUAAUGCAUCGGAACGUGCCAUUGAGUGGGGGAUAACGUAGCGAAAGUUGCGCUAAUACCGCAUAUUCUGUGAGCAGGAAAGCAGGGGACCGCAAGGCCUUGCGCUCUUUGAGCGGCCGAUGUCAGAUUAGCUAGUUGGUGAGGUAAAGGCUUACCAAGGCGACGAUCUGUAGCGGGUCUGAGAGGAUGAUCCGCCACACUGGAACUGAGACACGGUCCAGACUCCUACGGGAGGCAGCAGUGGGGAAUUUUGGACAAUGGGGGCAACCCUGAUCCAGCCAUGCCGCGUGAGUGAAGAA